CGGGGCGCGCAGGGCGAAGGGGGCAGGAGCAGCAGCAGCAGGAGGAGGAGGAGGAGGAGGAAGAAGGCGAGGAGGCGGCGGAGCAGCGGCCGGAGCAGCGUUCGGUGGGCAGAGGAGACGCGAGCGCAGAGCCGCAAUCCCGCCGCUGCCCCGCGCCUUUCGCCGCGCCUCGUUCACGGAUGCCGGAGAGAAAAUGCCACGGCUGCUUCUCCCCCCCUUCUGCCCC